UACGAAGGGGGCUAGCGUUGCUCGGAAUCACUGGGCGUAAAGCGCACGUAGGCGGAUUGCUAAGUCAGGGGUGAAAUCCUGGAGCUCAACUCCAGAACUGCCUUUGAUACUGGCGAUCUCGAGUCCGGGAGAGGUGGAGUGGAACUGCGAGUGUAGAGGUGAAAUUCGUAGAUAUUCGCAAGAACACCAGUGGCGAAGGCGGCUCACUGGCCCGAUACUGACGCUGAGGCACGAAAGCGUGGGGAGCAAACAGG
rnacentral:rRNA from 1 species